UUAGUUGAUUAAUUAGUAAAUCGAUUAAUUGGUUAAUUAACUUAUUUUGAACUUUGCCUCUGGAACCCUGCAGAUUAGAAUGAACUAGGGUCAUGGAGGCCCUAUUAUACCUUAUUUACUACCAUAGUUCCUCAGUUUAGCUACAACAUUAGUGCCACAAUUCAUCCAGCCUCUUCUUGAAUAUCUCCUCUGUCUAGAACCUCACCACCUCCUGAGCCAGCCAUUCUAUUUUCAAGUGUCUUUAACUGAAACAAGCCCCAUCUCUCCAUAGGUCCUUGUUCUACACUCUGGGGCAAUACAAAAGGAGUCAGCUUUUUAGAAGACAGAACAAAUCUCUUCCUAUUCAAUAUCUGAUCUUAUCUGAUCUUCACACUCAGUGUUUCCUUCCAUUUUUCAAUCUCCAAGAUGACCUGGUCACUUUCUAAGAUAUAUUCCAUUUCUACACCAGCAGCAAAUUCUGGUUAAAAAAGCUUGCAUUCCCCAGAAUUAAGUCUGUUGUAACUGUUCCCUAUAUUGUGUUCUUCUGAGCCAUAAGGCCGCCACUCAUCCCUCAAAAACCGCUUAAUGAUAUUUUCUUUGUUCCAAUCCCCCCAAGGGACAAGGAACAUAGCUCUGAGUGAGAUGGAUAGAAUUCCUGACUUCAGAGGGUUUACAGUCUAGUGGGGGAGGCAGGGAAGACAGGCAAACAAAGAAGACUGCCAGGUAGGAAAUGCCAUGAAGUAAUCACAUUUUCUUUCACAAUCAGACUACACUUCUAAAGUCUAGUGAGCACUUAUUUUCAGCGAGGCACUUUGCUAAUUAUGAAACAAAUAGUUUUGUCUACAAGUAUAGCUUUCUUAAAAAACAAAAGCAGUUUCAUAGGGCUUAUGUUCUCUGAUCCUCACGAGAACCUUGUAAAGUAAAUAGGAUGGACAUUAUUUUGAUUAUUUACCCCACUUUGCAAAUGAGGAAACUGCGACUUAUUUUAGCAGCAAUGCAGCCAGUGAAUGUGCAGGAACCCAGCCUCUGACACCAGCCGCUCUCCACGCGCCUCACUGCCACACCUUGACGAGCUUGCUGAUGGCUUGCCCUCGUUUCCCAAGCCAGCUCUGGUUUGGUCGUUAGCAGUAUUGUCUGCCCGUUUUUAACAAAUGUAUGCAUUCAUAUAUUUAUGUGGUGGUUUUGGUGGUUUGGAAAACAGAUCUUACAUCUCAGCCUUUGUAGGGAGGAUGCUGGCACAGGGAGCCAGGAAGAGGCUGGCCAGCACCCAGAGGCCCUGCCGCACAGCAGGGGGAGGCUUCCACAUCAGGAAGUGCAGACUGAGACAACUGGGGAGGUCAAGUGGCCCCUCGGUCAAUAGCCGGGACUUGGGGUCGGGUCAUGGCAACAGCUGUAGGAAACAACCAUGCUGGGGCAGCGGGUCCUGGGGCUUUGGGGGAAGCAGAACGUGGCGCCUCCCAACCAUGGAGGAGGAGAAGGAGGAGGCGGCAGUGUUUGAAAGUCUGCUAAAUGAGGGGCAAAAAAUGCUUCUGCCUCCAUCACCCAACACCUCCCCUGGCAGCUGUGCCCUUGAAGGACUCUCAGGCCCUCUUUCUACCACUUGUUCAAGAAGGCACAAUCCCAAAAAGAAUGCACCCAUCUUUCUUCAAGUUUCUCACUAUUAGUCUUUUUUUGAGUAACCUACACAGGACAUGUUUAAUUCAUCUCCUGAUUGGUUCGUUGGUCACUCUGCUGUGGAACCUCUUCAUGACAUACCUGCAUUGGACAUACAUCAAUGCCUCAUGUUUGCAGGAACUGUUCAGUUACCUAGACCAGGGCCAAAUAGCGGAGCCCUGGGAUUUGACACUGAGAUGGUUCAGGGCUCUGCCAAAGACACCAGCUAAGACAGAGGCGUAGUGGGAAGCAGGCUCUCUACAAGGAACCAAAUAGAUGUGAAGGAGACUAACUUUGUGAGGGAAGGUAAGAAGAAGCGGCGUGACAGACAGGAGCAGAGGCUUUCCAUUUUCCCUCCCACCUUCGCCAGCCGGAUCCGGACCCUGCAGAAGGUCGUCUUUUCCACAGUAGCCUGGUCCUAGUAGCAGAUUCAAGGCUCUGAGCUGUGGACAGGGAUGAGCCAAGUGAACCCCAAGAUCCCAUCAAGCUUGAAGACCCCGGGUUCCUGGGAAUAAACCUUCAAGAGGAACACGAGAACAGAGAAGACAUGCAAAAAAUUAUUUAAAGAUAGGAGAUGUUUCCAAAUGUUGCAAAUGUGCCUUCUAUUUCCAUUUCCAUUUCCAUUUCCAAGUUUACAGUGUUUUUUCAAAGAUUAGUUCCCUUGUUAAAUCCCCACAGUGACUAUGAGCCCCCUGGUCUUACGGAGACGGAGGUGAUGUGGCUCCAUGGAGCUAAGAGAGUUGUCCAAGGUGGCAUCCAGCGUGAAUGAAGAUGCGAACCCAGGAUGAGGGCUUGGUCACCCUUGUUCACCACCUUGGCCUUGAACUCAUCACAUCAUCCCACUUUGCUCUCCACUCCUUCAUCCGUUCCUCAUCUCAUGGUCUCUGAACCUCUUACCUUGACUCCUGCCUACAGCACAUAUUCAUCCCUGUCCGUGAGAGACUGGAAUUGUUCUCCUUUUACCCCCUCUGGGCUCCCUUCCCCCACCACAAUCUGUACUCAGCCUAGGGUCGCCUUUGUGGUUGUUGACCCAGGUAAUAUUCAACUCAGGCCCUGAGACUUGGCCUGGCACUGGCCGAUGUGACCAGUAUCCACGAGAAAGGAAUUCAGCAAUCGCCGCACAGAAGAAUUAUGCACACAAAGCAAGAGGGUCUUUCUGCCACAUCUCUGAACAGGAAAAUCAAUUCAAAAAAUAUUUAUUGGCACUUACUCUGUGCAAGGCAUAGUCUGUAUAUUAAAAAGAGAAAUGGUAUGGCCUUGAGGUGGUGGAGAAAAUAAAAACAUGGUUCAACCAA